rnacentral:rRNA from 1 species
AUUGAACGCUGGCGGCAGGCUUAACACAUGCAAGUCGAGCGAGCGGCGGACGGGUGAGUAAUGUCUGGGAAACUGCCUGAUGGAGGGGGAUAACUACUGGAAACGGUAGCUAAUCCCGCAUACCAUCAGAUGUGCCCAGGUGGGAUUAGCUAGUAGGUGGGGUAAGGGCUCACGUCGGCGACGAGCCCUAGCUGGUCUGAGAGGAUGACAAGCCACACUGGAACGGAGACACGGUCCAGACUCCUACGGGAGGCAGCAGUGGGGAAUAUGGGACAAGGGGCGCAAGCCUGAUGCAGCCAUGCCGCGUGUGUGAAGAAGGCCUUCGGGUUGUAAAGCACUUUCAGCGAGGAGGCGUUACUCGCAGAAGAAGCACCGGCUAACUCCGUGCCAGCAGCCGCGGUAAUAC